GAUGAACGCUGACAGAAUGCUUAACACAUGCAAGUCUACUUGAACUUCGGUUUGGGUGGCGGACGGGUGAGUAACGCGUACAGAACUUACCUCACAGUUAGGGACAACAUUUGGAAACGAAUGCUAAUACCUGAUAUUAUGAUUUUAGGGCAUCCUAAGAUUAUGAAAGCUAUAUGCGCUGUGAGAGAGCUUUGCGUCCCAUUAGCUAGUUGGAGAGGUAACGGCUCACCAAGGCGAUGAUGGGUAGCCGGCCUGAGAGGGUGAACGGCCACAAGGGGACUGAGACACGGCCCUUACUCCUACGGGAGGAAGCAGUGGGGAAUAUUGGACAAUGGACCAAAAGUCUGAUCCAGCAAUUCUGUGUGCACGAUGACGUUUUUCGGAAUGUAAAGUGCUUUCAGUUGGGAAGAAAAAAAUGACGGUACCAACAGAAGAAGUGACGGCUAAAUACGUG
rnacentral:rRNA from 1 species